rnacentral:rRNA from 1 species
AUGGAGGAGGAUAGCAACGCGCUGAUUCUUCCCUGCAAGAGGAAGAACAAAACACAAGGGAUAGGCAAGGAGGAAAAGCAAAAGAAGGCACUGCAAGCAAAAAGCAUCGAAUUUUUACAGAAGCACAUGAUUGCUGAUGAUGUAUUUUCACUGCUGGAUACUACGUGCUCUGUUGGACAAGCUGCGACUAUGAAAGAAAAAUUUAGGCGUGCUGUGCAGUUCUCCACGCAUGGUUUAGACGUUCCUGAAGAACUUUUGCUAUUCAAGAAACACUGUGAUCGGAAAGGAGUUCCUGGAGACAGUGAAGCUGUGCCAGAAGUUUCCCCAGUGAAGUUUAUUAAGGCGGCAAAACUUGAUCAUCCUGGCAGUGAACGAAAGAAUCAUGAGAAAGAUUCGAUGGAACCUAUGAUGGAUCUUGGCGUGAGCAUUCUGGAACAAAAAACUGAAGGGACUAAUGACGAUGCUGGCAUUUCGGUACGCCAGAUCAUUCUGGGACAAAAAACCGAGGAGACUAAUGAUGAUGCUGACAUUUUGGCACAUCAGCCGAUUCAGUCACCCGUGCAAAAUUGCUCUGCCGCAGAGAUAGAUUUGCAGGAUAAAGAGCUACAACAAAGUGAAGCUGCUUUACAAGAAUGCUUCAAUCCUCCAAUUGUGGUGCCUGUGUCAAGACCACAGGAGGUUGAGAAGGCGAGGAGGGAUCUCCCAAUAAUAAUGAUGGAGCAGGAAAUAAUGGAAGCUGUCUAUGAAAAUUCUGUGGUAAUUCUAUGUGGAGAAACAGGCUGUGGUAAAACUACUCAGGUCCCUCAGUUCUUAUAUGAAGCCGGCUUUGGCACAAGCAAUCGAGCUGGUAGAAAAGGGAUGAUUGGGAUCACCCAACCACGACGUGUUGCUGUUCUUGCCACAUCCAAGAGGGUGGCUUAUGAGUUAGGACUUAAGCUAGGAAAGGAGGUCGGUUUUGAAGUUAGGCAUGAUAAAGAAGUUGGAAGUAAAUGCUCCAUCAAGUUUAUGACAGAUGGCAUUUUGCUGCGAGAGAUCCAGAGUGACAUUCUGUUGAAGCACUAUUCCGUGAUCAUCUUGGAUGAGGCACAUGAAAGGAGUUUGAACACAGAUAUACUUAUUGGGAUGCUUUGUAGAAUUAUAAAGCUUCGCAAGGAUAUAUAUGCAGAUCAACAGAAAAAAAUACGCUCUGGAAAGAACAUUAAGCCAGAAGAUAUGAUUAGUCAGCUGAAAGUGGUGCUGAUGAGUGCUACCUUGCAGUUAAAGGAAUUUAUUUCAAACAGAAGAUUGUUUGAUGUGAUUCCACCAACUGUAGAGAUACCUGCACGGCAAUUUCCAGUAACGAUUCUGUUAGAGUACAGGACACAUGAUGAUUAUUUAGCACAGGCUUAUAAAAAGGUUCUGUCAAUCCACAAGAGUCUACCACCAGGUGGAAUCCUUGUAUUUGUUACUGGACAACGAGAAGUUGAUUAUUUAUGUAAGAAACUGCAAAGAGCAUCCAAAGGGCAAAUUGGUAAGAAGCCUGAAAGGGUUGGAGAUGAGUGUGGUUCAAGACCAGAAAUAGAUGAGAAGGAAAUUUUUGAAGCAUAUGAUAUUGAUAGAACUGAAGCUGAGCACCAAGAGGACAUGUUUUCCUCAUAUGUUGAAGAUGAAAUGGAUGAUGGACUAAAUGUCGAUUCUUCUGAUGCUGAAACAGAGAGUGAGACUGAUACUGACAGCGAUGAGGAUUCCGCUGCACAUGAGACCACAGAAGAUGGACCAGUAUCAUCAUUUUUGAAACAUGCUGAGAGUUCAUCUGUACUGAAGGCAUCCUUUAAAGCUAUAUCAGGGAUUUCAGGAGAAUCGGAAGCUGCUGAGGAAUCGAGCAAUGUGACAAUUGCGGAAAAGUCAAACCCUUCUAAUCCUUCUUUCAGUAAACGUACAGAACCUACAUCUGUUUCACACGGUAGGCUUCGUGUUUUACCACUUUAUGCAAUGCAACCAGCUUCGCAGCAGCUUAGAGUGUUUCGCGAUAUUCCUGAAGAGGAAAGAUUAGUUGUUGUGGCAACUAAUGUUGCAGAAACCUCUUUAACAAUUCCUGGUAUAACAUAUGUGGUCGAUACUGGAAAAGAAAAGGUUAAGAACUAUGAUCAUGCUACGGGGAUGGCAAGUUAUGAAGUCCAGUGGAUAAGCAAGGCGUCAGCAUCCCAACGUGCUGGGAGAGCUGGAAGAACUGGGCCUGGGCACUGUUACCGUCUCUACUCAGGUGCAGCAUAUGGUAAAGAUGAUUUAUUUCCUGAGUUCUCUGAGCCAGAGAUCAAGAAAAUGCCAGUUGAUGGCCUUGUGCUUAUGCUCAAGUUUAUGAAAAUUGAUAAGGUUGAAAACUUUCCUUUCCCUACGCCUCCUAACGAUGAAAGUUUGGUUGAAGCUAAGCGUUGCUUGAAGACAUUAGAAGCACUUGACAGCAAAGAAAAACUUACAUCAAUGGGAAAGGCUAUGGCGCAAUACCCCAUGAGCCCACAGACAUUCGCCCAGCAAGGCUAUGCUAGAUCUAACUUCAUACUGGGAUAUGCAACUGCUGCUGCAUCAGCUUUGAGUUAUGCAAAUCCUUUUCUCAUUCAGGGAGACACUAGUAGAGAAUCAAACCAGGAUGGCCCUGAUCCAGAACAUAAGGAUCAAGAUGAAAGAAGGAGACAGAAGAAGCUCAAGGCCAUGGUUCGAGAGGCACGCAAAGAUUUUUCCAUCCCUAGUAGUGAUGCUCUAACCAUUUCUCAUGCUUUGCGGUCAUUUGAGUGUUCAAGGAACCCAGUGGAAUUCUGCAGAGAGUACUCACUUCACCUCAAAACAAUGGAAGGGAUGUCAAAAUUGAGAAAGCAGCUUCUUCGAUUAAUAUUUCACCAUAGCAAAUUCUGUGAUGAAUUUUCUUGGAAUUAUGGAGGUUCUGAGGAUGUUGAACAGGCCUGGAGGAAACGCAUCUUUAAGGUUGCAAAGAAGAUUAACACUUUUUCUGGAUUGUCGAAAGAGGAUCGAAAGGUUCGAGCUGGACGUUAUCAAUCUUGCAUCCUCAAUGAUACAAUAUAUCUCCACCGAUCAUCUUCUGUUGCCCAAACUCCACCAGAAUUUGUAGUCUACUCGGAACUACUAAAUACAAAGAGAUUGUACAUGCAUGGUGUGACCAGUGUAAAGCCUGGAUGGCUUUUCAAAUAUGCUAGUUCUCUCUGCACCUUCUCAGCGCCACUGGAAGAUCCAAAACCCUAUUACGAGCCUCAGAAUGACCAGGUCUACUGUUAUGUUAGUCCCAUCUUUUCUAGACAUAAUUGGCAGCUUCCGCUGCACAGUUUACCCAUCGAAGACCCCACCAGGCGGUUGCAGGUAUUUGCAUGGGCUUUGCUGAAAGGGGAUGUCUUGCCAUGUCUAAGGGUGGUUCAAAAGUUCUUGGCUCUGUCACCAUCUGCUGUCCUUGAGCCUGCCAGCCAAAGAAGAGUUGGAGAUCUUCUUAGCAGGAUGAAGAUGGGUGGAAAAUUAAAAGACAGCCGGAGAGCAUUAAGAGAUGCAUGGAGAGGUGAUCCAGAUUUUCUUUAUCCUGAGAUUCAGGCAUGGAUACAGGAUAAAUAUCAGAGCCAGUUUGAAGCAAUAUGGGAACAAAUGCACCAAGAAGUUUGGCUUGAGGGACAUGAACUUUUCCCAAAGAGGUUCAAGAAAGUUGAGGGGUAG